UACGUAGGGUUCAAGCGUUAAUCGGAAUUACUGGGCGUAAAGCGUGCGCAGGCGGUUUUGUAAGUCUGACGUGAAAUCCCCGGGCUCAACCUGGGAAUUGCGUUGGAGACUGCAAGGCUAGAAUCUGGCAGAGGGGGGUAGAAUUCCACGUGUAGCAGUGAAAUGCGUAGAGAUGUGGAGGAACACCGAUGGCGAAGGCAGCCCCCUGGGUCAAGAUUGACGCUCAUGCACGAAAGCGUGGGGAGCAAACAGG
rnacentral:rRNA from 1 species